GCGGAAAGCAGCAGGAAUUUCUGCUCUUUUGUAGAGAUGUCCGGAAGAAGAGGUGGCGGGGCCAUUCAGAGACUGACCUCCACCCUGUGGCUGGUUGGUUGAGUGGAAUCCAACAUACCGAGCAACUCAAAACUUGUUGCUCUUCUUCAAGCUUAACACGUGUUCUCUUUUACUAUUACAAAUAAAUAUUCUGAUUCCCUCGUCUCAUCUUGGAUUUCCUUUUCCCCUGUUAAAAGCAGCAGCAGCAGCAGCUUCAGGAGGACAGAUUUGACUAACACAAAGCUUCAGGAGGACAGAUUUGAUUAACACUUUCACAUUCUGAUUUUUGCACUGUAUUUAGUUUAUAUUGAUUAUUACAUUCCAAGAAUUCAAACAGAUAAUCGACGCGUAUUAAUUCUUACAGGAUUGCCUUGCUGAUCAUUAAUCAUUGCAUCUGGCAUGUGAAGCCAACAGAUCAUCGACGCGUAAAACGCCUUUCAGGUUCAGGUGCUACUUUUGUUUCGCAUUGCUAAUAGAAUUCACAGAAUUUCAAAAUUUUCUUUUCGAGGUUAGAAACACACAAAAAAAUAAAUAAAUAAAUAAAUAAAGACACGUACUAGGUAAUCGAAACUUCUUGAUUUUUUUACUGUCUAAUCCUACCAGAGCGCUCCACGAAUAACAGAAAGAAAACCAGCAGCAUAUAUAGCAG
rnacentral:lncRNA from 1 species